UUCCGGUUGAUCCUGCCGGACCUGACUGCUAUCGGAUUGAUACUAAGCCAUGCGAGUCAUUGUAGCAAUACAAGGCAGACGGCUCAGUAACGCGUAGUCAACCUAACCUAUGGACGGGAAUAACCUCGGGAAACUGAGAAUAAUGCCCGAUAGAACACUAUGCCUGGAAUGGUUUGUGUUCCAAAUGAUUUAUCGCCGUAGGAUGGGACUGCGGCCUAUCAGUUUGUUGGUGAGGUAAUGGCCCACCAAGACUAUUACAGGUACGGGCUCUGAGAGGAGUAGCCCGGAGAUGGGUACUGAGACACGGACCCAGGCCCUAUGGGGCGCAGCAGGCGAGAAAACUUUGCAAUGUGCGAAAGCACGACAAGGUUAAUCCGAGUGAUUUGUGCUAAACGAAUCUUUUGUUAGUCCUAGAAACACUAACGAAUAAGGGGUGGGCAAGUUCUGGUGUCAGCCGCCGCGGUAAAACCAGCACCUCAAGUGGUCAGGAUGAUUAUUGGGCCUAAAGCAUCCGUAGCCGGCUCUGUAAGUUUUCGGUUAAAUCUGUGCGCUCAACGUACAGGCUGCCGGGAAUACUGCAGAGCUAGGGAGUGGGAGAGGUAGACGGUACUCGGUAGGAAGGGGUAAAAUCCUUUGAUCUAUUGAUGACCACCUGUGGCGAAGGCGGUCUACCAGAACACGUCCGACGGUGAGGGAUGAAAGCUGGGGGAGCAAACCGGAUUAGAUACCCGGGUAGUCCCAGCUGUAAACUAUGCAAACUCAGUGAUGCAUUGGCUUGUGGCCAAUGCAGUGCUGCAGGGAAGCCGUUAAGUUUGCCGCCUGGGAAGUACGUACGCAAGUA
rnacentral:rRNA from 1 species